GUGGGUACAUCAUGUCAUUUCAUUGAUUUAUUAAUUUAAAAGUGAGUUAUAUAUAUGACAUUAUGACUAAAUUAUAUUGGCUGAUAUCAUUAUACUAUACACUUAUAUUAUAAUAUAUCUAAUUGUGUGUGUAGAAUUAUAUUUGUGUCCAAAGGGCUCAGCCAGUUAAGUCAUAAUGAAUAAUAAUUAACUAUGUUAAAUAAAUUAUAUUAGGUACAAACAUAAAAUACACAUAACUUGCUUUAAAAAUAAAAUAUAAAUAAAUAUACCUGUAAGGUUCUUUAGAAAAUAUUUUUACUCUAUGUUUAUUAAAGCUAACAUUACAAAAUUUGAUCUGCUCUACAUAAAUUUGCUUACACAAUUGAUGUUGCUCGGUCACAGAGAAAAGAAAUAGUGCACUGACAUAUUUUUAACAAACUUUUAAUUUGCAGGUAAUAUAUUGCGGAACCAGUAUCCAAUUUUAAUAGCACUGAGCAUCUGGACAUAUUUAAAUUUCAAAGAACACAUAACAAGUUUGGAAAUUCAAUGUUCUGACAAUUGGAUGUGUUUCAUUUUGGGACAUUGCUGUCAGCAAAAGAGGGUUUCCAAGUUCCAGAU